AGUGAACGCUGGCGGUAGGCCUAACACAUGCAAGUCGAACGGCAGCACAGUAAGAGCUUGCUCUUACGGGUGGCGAGUGGCGGACGGGUGAGGAAUACAUCGGAAUCUACUUUUUCGUGGGGGAUAACGUAGGGAAACUUACGCUAAUACCGCAUACGACCUACGGGUGAAAGCAGGGGAUCUUCUGACCUUGCGCGAUUGAAUGAGCCGAUGUCGGAUUAGCUAGUUGGCGGGGUAAAGGCCCACCAAGUCGACGAUCCGUAGCUGGUCUGAGAGGAUGAUCAGCCACACUGGAACUGAGACACGGUCCAGACUCCUACGGGAGGCAGCAGUGGGGAAUAUUGGACAAUGGGCGCAAGCCUGAUCCUGCCAUACCGAGUAGGUGAAGAAGGCCUUCAGGUUGUAAAGCCCUUUUGUUGGGAAAGAAAAGCAGCAGAUUAAUACCCAGCUGUUCUGACGGUACCCAAAGAAUAAGCACCGGCUAACUUCGUG
rnacentral:rRNA from 1 species